GGCUUCGGGCUGCGGCUGGCUUGUCGUUCGCGGUUCGCGACGUUCGCGUGCUUGGCCCGUUGGGCCCGUACGGGGUCAGAGGAGGGAGGAGGUAGAGGGAGUGGGAGAAUAUAUGUAUACCGAGCAAGACAACAGAUUCCGACGAUCGGGCGUGCAAGCAAAGUGAAACAGGACGUACCAAACGUUCCUUGUUUAUCCAAUGGAGUCGACCGAGAAUCGUCAACGAUGAUAAAACCCACCAGGAAUAACACACAUCAGGCAACUUCUCGGGCCUUCCAUUUAAACCACCUGAUGGCAGUUGUCUCUCACACAACCACCAACCAAGUCUAUCGGCAUCGACUAAAUGUAAUCGUCCUUAACAAAAUUCAACAUGGUUCUGAUCCGGGUGUAUCAAUAAUUCUCACAUCGUUACUCCAACUUCUCAAGAGCCAAACUGAAUUCGAUUCAUGAAUCAUCAUUUUUAUUUCGGUCAACAGUUGGAUAUUUUUUCAUGUAUGAAUCUUUUUGAGAUACAUUAAAGUUACAUGACAGAUAACAAAGCAUAGUUGAAUAUCCUUAUUUUGAGCUAUUUUUACGACACUCAAAUAUCUUGAUAAAUGAUAUUGACGUAAAAAAUGUAUAUUUCAAGUAUCUUUGGCGGCAUUUACACAAACGACAUUUCGAAUGUUUUACUAAGUUUGGUGCAAAAAUGUUAAAAUUCCGAAAUCGAAUACAAUACAAAAUACUUUGUUUUUUCAUCGGUUUUCGACAUAACCUUCACCUUACCAUAUUU